CGGGGUGUAGCUCAGCCUGGUAGAGCGCCUAUUUUGGGUGUAGGAAGCCGGAGGUUCGAAUCCUCUCACCCCGACCA
rnacentral:tRNA from 1 species